rnacentral:rRNA from 1 species
GAUGAACGCUGGCGGCGUGCCUAAUACAUGCAAGUCGAGCGAACGGACGAGAAGCUUGCUUUUCUGAUGUUAGCGGCGGACGGGUGAGUAACACGUGGAUAACCUACCUAUAAGACUGGGAUAACUUCGGGAAACCGGAGCUAAUACCGGAUAAUAUUUUGAACCGCAUGGUUCAAAAGUGAAAGACGGUCUUGCUUUCACUUAUAGAUGGAUCCGCGCUGCAUUAGCUAGUUGGUAAGGUAACGGCUUACCAAGGCAACGAUGCAUAGCCGACCUGAGCGGGUGAUCGGCCACACUGUAACUGAGACACGGUCCAGACUCCUACGGGAGGCAGCAGUAGGGAAUCUUCCGCGAAGGGCGAAAGCCUGACGGAGCAACGCCGCGUGAGUGAUGAAGGUCUUCGGAUCGUAAAACUCUGUUAUUAGGGAAGAACAUAUGUGUAAGUAACUGUGCACAUCUUGACGGUACCUAAUCAGAAAGCCACGGCUAACUACGUG